GAAGAGCUGCUUCCACAAGUUCUGCUUUCUUGGGAUGAGGCAUUGAAGCAGGUCCUGACAUUAGACAGGAUCUGCAAUAGUAGUCAACCCAGAAGGAUGGAUCUUGCCCGGGGACUCUGCAAAGUCUACCAUGUUAGACACCUGUGCGGAGAAGGAAGAAGCCACGGCAAAGGGGGAGCCCUCCCUCCGGUCGGAACCCUGUCAGCUGUCCAGCUCCGAGACAUCCUACACCUUGGAGGAAGAGGUGGUGGAGAUGCACAGCCAUAAGCCCCGCUGGUCCAUGGGCAUAGGAAAAAAGGAUGAGUGGGAAAAGAAAUCGAGAAAGGUGACAUUGAGGCGAGGCAGCCACCAACUGGGAUGGAAGCAACAGAUGGAGAGAUCCCUGCACCCUAGCGGGGAUGAGGACGAUCGUAGGGAGCAAUCGAGCUGGAUCCUGGAGAAGGCGAUCGACCUGAUGAAAUCAACUCUUGCCUCCCUCAGAGAUGAAAAGCCUGAGCCCCCCAGCCGUACCAUUACCUUGGGCUGUAGCAAAAGAGGGGGAGUCUGAAGCCGAGGUCCCAGGAACAUUAGGUGGAGCAACCGAGACCAUAGCCAUUGUGGCUGCAGCCCUCACCCCCCACCAUGCGACGGCUGCUGAUCGGGAUGGACGACACCAUAGAUGACGUAGGCAUCGAUCCAUCCAGAAGUUCCCACCGCUGGACGUGAAGUUUCAAGGAGAGCCAUGGUGCCUGGGGUUCUUCCUUACCCAAGUCCUCAACUGCAUGGAAGAAUACGGCCGAGACAUCCUGAUUGAGAAGGCUCGGAUCCACAUUGUGCAGGUGGCCCUGGACGGUGUGGCAGCUGAUUGGGUGGUAGAUCUGCAUGACUCCAACACCCCAGAGCUCCAGAACUUCAACCAGUUCAUGUUCUCCCUUACAUGAUGAUCCAAGGACCUGUUGGCAGACCGGAAGGCCCGCGACAAGAUUAAGAUGGUGAAGCAAGGCAGACGUCAAGUGGCCGAGUACACCCAGGAAUUCCAGGCCAUUGCUAGCAAGCUGAAUUGGCCGGAAGUCAUCCUGCUUAGCCAUUUCAAGGAUGGGCUGAAUUACAAUCUCUAUGAUGCCUGCCUUCCCCAGGUAGACCCAUACCGAUUGCACGAUUGGUAUGUCCUGGCAGAGGAAGCCGAGAUUGACCUGCUUAAGAGACAUUGCAGAGGGAAACCAUGGAAUCAAUCACCCCCUGGGCUGUCACGCAAGCCCGCAAACCCACAGCCAAGAAGACCACUGGCUGCUUCAAGUUCGGGAAAGAGGGGCACCACAUUGCCGAAUGCUGUUCAAGGAACCCUCAGGAGAAGGCUGACUGAACACUAGCCAGGAAGUCAGAGAAGUCGCCCGCCAAGCUGCAAGAACCGGCCAUGAAGGGCACCGAGGCCGAGUUCCCCCCCUCCACCCAACGGGGGAAGGGAACCCCAGUCUACACCGCAGAAGCAUCCAACUCAUCGGACGACAACUCCAAGGAUGAGCCCCUGGUAAGUGGACCCAUUGCGCCCCUCACCCAGACAGUGACUAUCCUAGCCCCUCCAUGCCUGAAACUGUAAAGGUUAGAGCUCUACUAGACUCUGGCUACACGCAUUGCCUUAUUAGCCCAAUGCUGGUGGGGACCCUGGUCAUUCCUGUGAGGAGGCUGAAGAAACCGAUAUCCUUCAGUCAAUUAGAUGGGUCCAUAGCAGGGGGAAUGCCAGCCACUCUAGCCACACUACUGAUCCACCUCAUCCUGGGGUACCACGAGGAGACUAUAAUGUUCAUGGUGACCCCAGGCAUGGAGUGUCCAAUAAUACUGGAGUUGGCAUGACUAACGAAAUGGAACCCCCGAGUGGACUGGAGGACAGUGGAACUCAGGUUACCAAAAGAGGAUUGAACAGGAUCACCACCCCAGGAAGUUCCCGAGAGUUCCCCUCCAGCAGUGGGAGAGGAAAAACAUUGCCCGAAAUACCCGAGGAGUACAAGGACCUUGCCGAAGUCUUUAGCGAGGACGAGCUACCCCCUCACCGUCGCACAGGCUGUACUAUAGAAAUUAAACCAGGAGCAAAGCUCCCAAAGCCUAGAUUGUACUCCAUGAGCCCCGGGGAGCUACAAGAAAUGAAAAAAAUUGUAGAUAAGAACUUGGAAAGGGGCUUCAUUGAGCCAGCUUCCCCAAAAAAGGUAGCGGCCCCAGUCCUGUUCAAGGAAAAGAAAGACGGCACGUUGCGCACGUGCAUGGAUUAUUGCGCCUUGAAUGCCAUGUACCCUCUCCCCCUCAUGAAAGACAUGCUAUCCCAUCUAUUGAAGGGUAAAAUCUUCAUGAAACUGGACCUAAGGGAAGCCUAAUAUCGCGUUAGGAUUAAAGAGGGGGAUGAGUGAAAGACGUGUUCAACUGCCCUAUGGGAUGCUACCAAUUUAAGGUCUCGCUGUUUGGGCUGCAGGGAGCCCCUGUGGUCUUCAUGCAGCUGAUCAAUGAUGUACUGAGGGAGCACCUGUACAAGGGGGUCCUCGUCUACCUGGAUGAUAUCCUUAUAUUUACGGAGACUAAGGAGGAGCGUAUAAAAUUAGUCGCAGCAGUUUUGAAAAAACGGAGAGCCGCCAACCUCUACACAAAGCUGUCAAAGUGUGAGUUUCACAAACAGAAAAUUGACUACCUGGGCUACUGUAUAUCAACCGAAGGCAUAGAGAUGGACCCCAAAAAGGUUCAGGCAUUGCUAGAGUGGGCGCCACCCUGCACAAGAAAGCAGCUACAAAGCUUCAUGGGGUUCGCUAACUUCUACGGCCAGUUCAUUCCUUCCUUCGCCCAAAUAGCCCUGCCUAUCAUGAACUUAUUAAAGACAAAAGAGGGAGGCUUUGUAAAACCUAGUCAGCCACUAACCUGGAUUAUGGAAUGUCAAGCUGCACUCGAGAGACUAAAAAGGCUUUUUUCGGCUGAACUGGUCUUAAAACACUCUGACCCAGAUGAGCCGUUCAUAAUCUAAGCCGAUGCAAGUGACGUAGCAGUAGGAACAGUAUUACUACAGGAAAACAACAAGGGGCACUUGCAAACUGUGCCUACACAUCCAGAAAACUCUCUGACAUGGGGCAACAUUGGCCAGUGUGGGAAAAAGAGGUGUACGCUGUGAGAUGGGCACUCCUCACCUGGCGUCACUUCCUGGAAGAGAAUAGAAUCCCAUUCCAGGUCUUGAUGGAUCAUAAGAACUUGGAGGCCCUAAAAAUGCCCAGAAAGCUCACCCCCAAACAAGCCCAGUGGUCACAACACUUCCACCAGUUUACGUUCACGGUCAAACUUUUAACGGGGGAGGAAUUUCCUGGCAGAUGCCAUAUCCUGCAUGCCCCAGUACAAUAGCUCCCAGCCAACCAUCUCCAAACCACUCAUGCCAGAAGCGCAGCUGGCAGCACAAGUAACCACAAGAGUUCAAACAAAACUAAAGCAGCCAAUAGCCAGCCAAGCAGGGAUCGAAUUAAGGAAGGCUCCAGAAACCGAUGAAUGGUUCCAGAGCCACAAAAAUUUGUGCACUAUCACUGACGGCUUGCCAUGGCUGGGGGAGAAACUGUGCAUCCUGAAGACCCAAAGGAUUACAUUUAUGCAACUCUACCAUGACAUAAAACCAGCAGGUCACUUUGGAUUCGUGAAAAUGCUGCAUCUAGUAAAAAGACAGUUCUGGUGGCCAUCUAUGAAAAAGGACAUUGAGAGCUAUGUGGCCAGCUGUCCAACCUGUGCAGCUGCUAAGAGACUGCAAGGGAAAGCCCCCGGACUGCUACAACCAAUGGCAAAUCCCUCAGCCCCCUGGAAGAAAAUCUCUAUGGACUUCAUAGUAGAGCUACCAGAAAGUAAUGGAAACACAGCAAUCUGGGUGGUCAUGGACUUAUUCUCAAAACAAGUACAUUUCAUCCCCUGUCCAAAAAUCCCCACCACUAAAGCCUUAGCAAAAUUGUUUGUCCAGCACAUAUAUAGACUGCAUGGGGCACCCCAAGACAUAAUAUCGGACAGGGGGUGCAAUUCCCAUCAGACUUUUGGAAAGAGUUCCUAUCCCUUCUGGGGAUCACCCAGGGGCUGUCAUCUAGUCAUCAUCCUCAGAUGAAUGGGGGGGACAGAACAUUCGAACUCAGUACUUGAGCAAUAUCUAAGAUGCUUUAUUAAUUUCCAACAGAUGAAUUGGACCGAUCUACUCCCUUUUGCAGAAGUGGCAUACAACAACACAGUACAUUCCAGCAUGGGCUACACCCCAUUCCAAGUAGCAAAGUUUCAACUCCAUGCCGGAACUAAGUGCCAUCGAACCGGCCAUUCCCUCCUUGAAGGAGUGGAUUGAACAAUUAAAAAAUACCUGGCCAGUAAUUAGAAAAGUGCUAGAUGAAGCUAGACAGGCCUAUAAAGCACAGGCAGAUAAGAAAAGAGUUGAACCAAAAGCAUUCCUUGUAGGGGAAAUGGUUUACCUAUCCACAAAAUACCUAAAAUCCCUGCAGCCAUCCAAGAAACUAGGACCAAAAUACGUGGGACUGUUCCCCAUCAAAAGAAUCAUGAACCCAUAACAGUAGAGUUAGAAUUACCCCAAACCCUCAGGCAGAUUCACCCUAUCUUCCAUUGCAGCCUCCUAAAAUGAGAGCAGCGAUCACCGUUACGACCAGCCAUCGUCCCACCCCCUCCUCCCAUUAUGGUUGACGGGGAGCAACAUUUUGAAAUAAAAGAAAUCCUUGACUCCCGAAAAUUCCACGGAGCGACUCAAUGCCUAGUAGCAUGGAAACACCUUCCCUCUUCCCAAAAUGAAUGGGUGCACAAAUGUCACGUUAGAGCCCCUAAACUAUUAAGAAAGUUUCACACAGACUACCUGAACAAACCAGACUAACCUCUCACUAUUUGUUUUGUCUCUCAACAGAUUGAUCUCUCAUAUUUUUAAGGGGGGCAGGAUGUGAGAACUCAUAUCUAUCUGAUUUCUUACUUCCCUUGCUCUCCUCUCAUAUUUCAUACUUCCCUUGCUCUUCUUCUCUGACCCAAAUUACAUUCUCUUCUCUCCCUGGGUUCUGCCAUACUCCUAGAGGGGAGGGGGGAAAGAUCGCGGGUUUAUUGACUUAGCUUCCUCUAUCUCUACAAUGUAACACUUUGCUUUCCUGCAUUCUUUCUCUAUUGCUACAGUGUAACACUUCGUUUUCCUGCACCAUUUCUUUCUGUACUUUCUUCUCCCUAAACUGUCAGCUACCCUCAAGAGAAGGUGCGAAGAGUCGUCUAAACAUUGCUGCUACGACCAGAGCCGGCCCGAUGUUACCUCCCCUUUCCCACGAUGGACUUAACACCUGGGGAUUGGCUGGUUUGAAUCGUCUGUAUGAACUAUGGGGUGGGGUUUGCUUGGGGACACUUUAACCUAUUGAUUUGCAUGGGAAACCCUCAGAUCCUGUCUAGUAUGCCUGCUAUCAGCUUCUCCUAAUAAAAGUUCCUUUUGGAAGAGCUGCUUCGAUGAGUUCUGCUUUCUUGGGAUGAGGCAUUGAAGCGGGUCCUGACAGUAAUAACCUUUGUCUUCCUGUUGCUCUUUAGUUAUUCUGAGCCUGGAAUACUCAAAAUCUGCAGGCUACCAUGAGAAAAGUUUAUUUUUCUAAUAAUAAUAUAUACAUUGUAAUAAUAAGUUAUAAUAAUAUGAAAAUAUAUACUUUCAGACAGUUUGCCUAUUGUAUUAUCAAACUGUAUGGAAAACACUAGAUUUGGGGAAUGCUAUUGUAUUCCUUGGGGUAAAUUCAAUGGAACUGACAGGUGCAAUAAACCAGGAGCUGGGUUAGAAUUCAAAAGUACUACAAGUUUAUUUCAUGCUAAAUAAGAAUCUGAUCUAGGCAAGGCAAAUUGGUGCUAGAUAAGAGUCAAUGGAAUUCAUGGAAGCCCAGACUUAGGACUCUUGUGGGUGUGUAGAAACUCUAAACUGAUAAUACAUUUGAUUCCAACCUUCGGAUCAGCCUGGUCAUCUCCUAUAAGAACUUAGUAGUGGCUAUAAGAUGCAACAACAAUAACAAUUGCUGAGAUAAUCUGUUACAAUAUUUCUUAUAUUUUAGGACAGGAAAGUGCUCUGCCUCUUCUAAGCCAUGACCCUAGAUCCCAGAGAGGUAUCUUAAGAAGGGCUGUCUUUUCAGAAGAGCAAUGAAAAUCUUUGGAGAAAAUGUUUCAGAAACAGAAAUAUAUCAGCAAAACAGACAGAAAAAAACUGGCCAUCAAUCUGUGUCUGAAGGAGUCACAGGUCAAGAUCUGGUUUCAAAAUCGAAGGAUGAAAUGGAAAAACUCCAAAGAAAAAGAAGUGCUCUCAGAUCGGGAUCUGCCAGAGGAAGGUCUUCAAGAGAUAUAUGUUUCCAGGGGUUUAAAUUUUUCCUCCUCACCAUGUCCAGUCUGGGAAAUGUCUCAACAACAAUCAAAUUCAAGAUGGCAGAAUUUCCCAGAAUGUGCUGGGAGACUGAGUAACAGAAUUAGUCUGCAGCCACACAUAAAGCCAACUUUGUCUUCCGACACAUCAUAUUUGUAUCAAGAAAGAGGCACCAUAGACAAGGAACUCUCUCAUAAGAACAGUAAAAAUGAUGGAAACCACUGUUUGAAGUGAACUCUAAUUAACUUUAUGAGAGAACUGAAUUAGAUUAUGUAUUCCAUCACUGGUUCAAAUAAAAUGUAAAACAUUUA